rnacentral:tRNA from 1 species
UAUUUAUAUAUUAUAAUUAUUAUUCUUAACUUCCAAUUAAGAGAUCUAAAAUCUUAGUAUAAAUA